UCCUUGAAAUACCACCCUUUAAUGGCUGGUGUUCUAACGUGGACCCGUGAUCCGGGUUGCGGACAGUGUCUGGUGGGUAGUUUGACUGGGGCGGUCUCCUCCCAAAGAGUAACGGAGGAGCACGAAGGUUAGCUAAUCCUGGUCGGACAUCAGGAGGUUAGUGCAAUGGCAUAAGCUAGCUUGACUGCGAGAGUGACGGCUCGAGCAGGUGCGAAAGCAGGUCAUAGUGAUCCGGUGGUUCUGAAUGGAAGGGCCAUCGCUCAACGGAUAAAAGGUACUCCGGGGAUAACAGGCUGAUACCGCCCAAGAGUUCAUAUCGACGGCGGUGUUUGGCACCUCGAUGUCGGCUCAUCACAUCCUGGGGCUGAAGUAGGUCCCAAGGGUAUGGCUGUUCGCCAUUUAAAGUGGUACGCGAGCUGGGUUUAGAACGUCGUGAGACAGUUCGGUCCCUAUCUGCCGUGGGCGCUGGAGAAUUGAGGGGGGCUGCUCCUAGUACGAGAGGACCGGAGUGGACGCAUCACUGGUGUUCGGGUUGUCAUGCCAAUGGCACUGCCCGGUAGCUAAAUGCGGAAGAGAUAAGUGCUGAAAGCAUCUAAGCACGAAACUUGCCCCGAGAUGAGUUCUCCCUGAGACUUUAAGUCUCCUGAAGGAACGUUGAAGACGACGACGUUGAUAGGCCGGGUGUGUAAGCGCAGCGAUGCGUUGAGCUAACCGGUACUAAUGAACCGUGAGGCUUAACCUU
rnacentral:rRNA from 2 species